AUUGAACGCUGGCGGCAUGCUUUACACAUGCAAGUCGAACGGUAACAGGCCGCAAGGUGCUGACGAGUGGCGAACGGGUGAGUAAUGCAUCGGAACGUGCCCCGUCGUGGGGGAUAACUACUCGAAAGAGUAGCUAAUACCGCAUACGAUCUAUGGAUGAAAGCGGGGGGCCGUAAGGCCUCGCGCGGUUGGAGCGGCCGAUGUCAGAUUAGGUAGUUGGUGGGGUAAAGGCUCACCAAGCCAACGAUCUGUAGCUGGUCUGAGAGGACGACCAGCCACACUGGGACUGAGACACGGCCCAGACUCCUACGGGAGGCAGCAGUGGGGAAUUUUGGACAAUGGGCGCAAGCCUGAUCCAGCAAUGCCGCGUGCAGGAAGAAGGCCUUCGGGUUGUAAACUGCUUUUGUACGGAACGAAACGGCUCUGGUUAAUACCCGGGGCUAAUGACGGUACCGUAAGAAUAAGCACCGGCUAACUACGUG
rnacentral:rRNA from 1 species